UACCAGCACCCCGAGUGGUCGGGACGUUUAUUGGGCCUAAAGCAUCCGUAGCCGGUUCUACAAGUCUUCCGUUAAAUCCACCUGCUUAACAGAUGGGCCGCGGAGGAUACUACAGAGCUAGGAGGCAGGAGAGGCAAGCGGUACUCAGUGGGUAGGGGUAAAAUCCGUUGAUCCAUUGAAGACCACCAGUGGCGAAGGCGGCUUGCCAGAAUGCGCUCGACGGUGGGGGAUGAAAGCUGGGGGAGCAAACCGG
rnacentral:rRNA from 1 species